rnacentral:rRNA from 1 species
UACGGGAGGCAGCAGUGGGGAAUAUUGCACAAUGGGCGAAAGCCUGAUGCAGCUAUGCCGCGUGUAUGAAGAAGGCCUUAGGGUUGUAAAGUACUUUCAUCGGGGAGGAAAAACAAACUAAUAAUUUUAUUUCUUGACGUUACCCGAAAAAGAAGCACCGGCUAACUCCGUGCCAGCAGCCGCGGUAAUACGGAGGGUGCUAGCGUUAAUCAGAAUUACUGGGCGUAAAGAGCACGUAGGUGGUUUUUUUAAGUCAGAUGUGAAAUCCCUGGGCUUAACCUAGGAACUGCAUUUUGAAACUGAAAUACUAGAGUAUCGUAGAGGGAGGUAGAAUUCUAGGUGUAGCGGUGAAAUGCGUAGAUAUCUGGAGGAAUACCUGUGGCGAAAGCGGCCUCCUAAACGAAUACUGACACUGAGGUGCGAAAGCGUGGGGAGCAAACAGGGAUUAGAUACCCGU